rnacentral:lncRNA from 1 species
UCUAACUGUUGAUGUUACACUAUCUUGUUUUCUGUUUAAUCCAGACUUGUGACACCUGGGCUGUGAUCCUCUAGCCAUCCCGACCUCACACUUUUAUAUUAAAACUUCAGACAUCUCUGCUCUUGGUGUUCUGAUGUGGGCGAAAGAACCUCAACUUUCCUGGAGAUUUAUUGGAGUCAGAUUUAUUGUCCAUCAUCAUGUUAUACAAAAAUCUACAAAUAAUAAAUUUGUACAGAGAAAAAAAGCCCAAAGGAAUAGCGAAUGGAGGUGUAACAGCAGUAAUUUAAACUUGCUUCCCCCCGAUAUAUUAGGAUGACAGCCAUUUUUGAAGCAUAAUUCU